CUGGUGCACAACUGAUUCAGCUAUAAUCUAGCAUUAGCUGGUGGGCCAGUAGCAAACCUGCCAAAUGAGGGGAGUGACUUAGCCCUUACAAAACCACAAAUCUCCAGACCCAUCCUUCAAUAUCUGUGUAGUCAACAUGUUACAGCAUUUUUUUUUUUUUUUAAUGAUGUAUAUCGCAACGCUAACCAUUCCAAAUACAGAAUAUCAAAUCUUCCCAUUUGCCUUGCCCAACACUUCAACCCAUUUCAAUGACCGCAUACCAAGAAGAGCCACAGACAGUCGUUUUCCAUGUGCUCUAUACCGCUACUAAAGGAGCUUUGGGGAAGAUCAUGGCUCAGUUUUUUCUGAUCUGAUUAAAAUCCCACCACGCUGUUAAACAAGUGUCCCAAAUGGAAGGAAGCUUUGUCCAACGGGUAGACAAUUGCCUCUAGGCUAAACACAAAGAGGGAGAUUGCUGUGCGGUUGUAGAUUAAUACAGUAUUAUAAUAAUAGGAACAUUGAAAUGGGGCUCACCCGUUGGGGUCCUUCUCCACCAUCUUGAGCAGCUCGAGGGACUGCAGCACCUUGCGGGCCACAUUUUUGGAUCCUACGCUGAAGUGGGCAGGACACACUCCGUUCCUCUUGCGACCACCAUAGAUCUUGGUCAUGGAGCCCACACCGGCACCCCCGCGAAG